GUAUGGCCUACCGUGGCAAUGACGGGUAACGGGGAAUUAGGGUUCGAUUCCGGAGAGGGAGCCUGAGAAACGGCUACCACAUCUAAGGAAGGCAGCAGGCGCGCAAAUUACCCAAUCCUAAUACAGGGAGGUAGUGACAAGAAAUAACAAUACAGGACUUUAAUAGUUUUGUAAUUGGAAUGAGUUAAGUAUAAACCCCUUUACAAGUAUCAAUUGGAGGGCAAGUCUGGUGCCAGCAGCCGCGGUAAUUCCAGCUCCAAUAGCGUAUAUUAAAGUUGUUGCAGUUAAAAAGCUCGUAGUUGGAUUUCUGUUAAUAAUUUAUAUAUAAUAUUUUAAUAUAUUUAUAUAAUAUUAACAUAAUUCAUAUUACUAUUUUUAGUAUAUGAAAUUUUACUUUGAGAAAAUUAGAGUGCUUAAAGCAGGCAUAUGCCUUGAAUACUACAGCAUGGAAUAAUAUUAAAGAUUUUUAUCUUUCUUUAUUGGUUCUAGGAUAGAAAUAAUGAUUAAUAGGGACAGUUGGGGGCAUUUGUAUUUAAA
rnacentral:rRNA from 1 species